UGUGGGUUGUGAAUAACAAUUCGUGCCGUCGCAAACGCAAUAAGUACCCCGCCUGAGGAGUACGAUCGCAAGAUUAAAACUCAAAGGAAUUGACGGGGACCCGCACAAGCAGCGGAGCAUGUGGUUUAAUUCGAAGCAACGCGAAGAACCUUACCUAAACUUGACAUACCUUGAAUUACCUUGUAAUGAGGGAAGCUCGCAAGAGCAAGGAUACAGGUGGUGCAUGGUUGUCGUCAGCUCGUGUCGUGAGAUGUUGGGUUAAGUCCCGCAACGAGCGCAACCCUUGUUGUUAAUUGCUAACAGGUUAAGCUGAGCACUUUAGCGAGACAGCCUAGGUUAACUAGGAGGAAGGUGGGGAUGACGUCAAAUCAUCAUGCCCCUUACGUUUAGGGCUACACACGUGCUACAAUGGUGAGAACAGAGAGAAGCAAGCUAGUGAUAGUGAGCAAAACUUAUAAAACUCAUCUCAGUUCGGAUUGCAGGCUGAAACUCGCCUGUAUGAAGAUGGAGUUGCUAGUAAUCGCGAAUCAGAAUGUCGCGGUGAAUACGUUCCCGGGUCUCGUACACACCGCCCGUCACACCAUGAGAGUUGGCAACACCCGAAGCCUGUGGGGCUAACC
rnacentral:rRNA from 1 species